rnacentral:lncRNA from 1 species
GAGGUGGAGGAGGAGGAGGAAGAUGAUAAUGUCAAUGAAACCUUACCUGGGUAGGUGGUAAGCUGCUGCUUGUAUUCAGGGAUCUCUCUAAUGAACUCUGUCGUGUUUCCUUCCCUGUGCCCCAUGCAAGGGGAGCUGCUUGAGCCAUGGGCAUAGUGCGAUCAUGGAGGAGAGCUGCAUGGAACCAAGGGGGGAGUUUCCUGGUCUUUCUCUGCUUCUAUCAGCUGAGAACUCAAGCAAACAGAGGGUUCGUUGAGUGGUGGAGGAACAGACCAUGCAGUCCAGCUUUUACAGCAGAGAUGUGGGGGACUUAUGUUGAUGGCCAGGAUGCAUCCAGAGAUAUUUCUUACUCUCUUUCUGCCAGUCUUUGCUGAGGCCAGCCUGUCCAGACAUGCCUCUCACAUGGGAUUCAGUUGUCCUUCUUCUCCCACUCAUUUCCCUGGGGGUUGGACCAGGAUGGAUGCCUGGUCAUACUGACUUUUGAGUGGACUGGGCCUGUGGGCUGAGCUUGAUGGUGUGUAUCCUGUGCUGGUACAGCGAAGUGGAUUAACCUGCAGGUUUGCAGAAACCCGUGAGGUUUGCCCUGUGAGGCCCAUUCCAUCGUGGCUGUUCUCCAUGUACAUCACAGCAGGCACCCAGCUGGGGUCUGGCAGGUCUGAGGUUGGGUUGAGCCAGCGUCACCCAGGAACCAGUGUGUGCACAGACUGGAGCUGUAUGUGUAGUCCAAUGAAGCACCACCCUUUUGGACAUGGGGCUCCUGAUGGGAAGGACAUAUGGCUUUGCAGUCUUGGGACAGGCUGGCUGGGGAAGAGAGUUUGGUAGCAAGGGGGCUUAGAGCCUUCUGCAUUCCCAGUACCUGCUGCUCUUGUGCCAUUCCUGCCGUGUCAGGGUCAUGAGCGUGCCGUGUCUCAGGAGGCCAUGCCUGGGGUAUGAUGCAUGCUGUGUUCUCUUCCAAAGCAGCGUGGAGGAGCUGGAGAAGGGAGCACACAGCCCAGCAGCACAGCUAUUAUGCUACCGCCUGGGGCCGCCCCCGGACAGCUGGACGGUGCUGGGAGGGGUUGGACACUCACCCAGCGCUGGCCCCAAGACUCCCCUGGGCUAAGCCAAAUCUCUGCAACAACGGACCAGCCACUCAGGAUUCACCCUGUGCCUGCACCUGGGCCAGCCAGUGCCUGGCACUGCCCUGGCACUGCCCUCCUGACACGGGGGCUGCUGGCACUGCUGCCAUGGAGUGCACAGGCUGUAACACCUUCUCCUUGUCCUGUGCUGCCUGCAUGAACCGCCUCGAGCUGCAGCUGCUCCCAGCUUGGGCUGGGGGACCGAUGCUCCUCACUCUGCUCACUCCCAGGCCAUGCAGGACCACCCUGCGUGCUCUGAGCCUUCCUAAUGCAGGCAGUGUACACCCUCAGGGAGCAACAGCUCUUGGCCUGGAGCAGUAUGUGAUGAAGGCCUUGCCCCUGCAGUUCAACCCCCUAGCCUCUCACAAGUGA